GACGAACGCUGGCGGCGUGCCUAAUACAUGCAAGUCGAGCGCAGGAAACUGACGGAACUCUUCGGAGGGAAGGCAGUGGAAUGAGCGGCGGACGGGUGAGUAACACGUAAGGAACCUGCCUCAAGGAUUGGGAUAACUCCGAGAAAUCGGAGCUAAUACCGGAUAGUUCAACGGACCGCAUGGUCCGUUGAUGAAAGGCGCUCCGGCGUCACCUUGAGAUGGCCUUGCGGUGCAUUAGCUAGUUGGUGGGGUAACGGCCAACCAAGGCGACGAUGCAUAGCCGACCAGAGAGGGUGAUCGGCCACACUGGGACUGAGACACGGCCCAGACUCCUACGGGAGGCAGCAGUAGGGAAUCUUCCACAAUGGACGAAAGUCUGAUGGAGCAACGCCGCGUGAGUGAUGAAGGUUUUCGGAUCGUAAAACUCUGUUGUAAGGGAAGAACACGUACGAGAGGGAAUGCUCGUACCUUGACGGUACCUUACGAGAAAGCCACGGCUAACUACGUGCCAGCAGCCGCCGUAA
rnacentral:rRNA from 1 species